rnacentral:rRNA from 1 species
CCUACGGGUGGCAGCAGUAGGGAAUCUUUCACAAUGGGCGAAAGCCUGAUGGAGCAACGCCGCGUGCAGGAUGAAGGCCUUCGGGUUGUAAACUGCUUUUAUAAGCGAGAAAUAUGAUGGUAACUUAUGAAUAAGGAUCGGCUAACUACGUGCCAGCAGCCGCGGUCAUACGUAGGAUCCGAGCAUUAUCCGGAGUGACUGGGUGUAAAGAGUUGCGUAGGUGGCAUAAUAAGUAGCUAGUGAAAUCUGGUGGCUCAACCAUUCAGACUAUUCGCUAAACUGUUAAGCUCGAGACCGUUAGGGGUAACUGGAAUUCCUAGUGUAGGAGUGAAAUCCGUAGAUAUUAGAAGGAACACCAAUAGCGUAGGCAGGUUGCUGGGACGGUUCUGACACUAAGGCACGAAAGCGUAGGGAGCAAACGGGAUUAGAUACCCCAGUAGUC